UGAGUAAGCCGGAUGGUCGCGUGCUGUGCACGAGGAAAGUCCGGGCUCCAAAGGGCAGGGUGCUGGGUAAUACCCAGUGGAGGUGACUCCAAGGAAAGUGCAACAGAGAUAUACCGCCGAUGAGAUGUCGGUAAGGGUGAAAAGGUGAGGUAAGAGCUCACCGACAGCCAGGCGACUGGUCUGUCCAUGUAAACCCCACCUGGAGCAAGGCUAAGUAUGGAGGCGAUAAGGUGGCCCGCCGAUGCCUCGGGGUAAGCCGCUAGAGGUGUCAGGCAACUGACAUCCUAGAUAAAUGACCAUCCAAGACAGAACCCGGCUUACAGGCUUACUCGCUUU
rnacentral:RNase_P_RNA from 2 species